rnacentral:rRNA from 1 species
CCUACGGGAGGCAGCAGUGAGGAAUAUUGGUCAAUGGACGCAAGUCUGAACCAGCCAUGCCGCGUGCAGGAAGACGGCUCUAUGAGUUGUAAACUGCUUUUGUACGAGGGUAAACGCAGAUACGUGUAUCUGUCUGAAAGUAUCGUACGAAUAAGGAUCGGCUAACUCCGUGCCAGCAGCCGCGGUAAUACGGAGGAUUCAAGCGUUAUCCGGAAUCAUUGGGCGUAAAGGCUUCCGAGGCGGCAAGGUAAGUCUGAUGUUAAAGCCCGGGGCUCAACUCCGGUUCGGCAUUGGAUACUAUCUAGCUAGAAUGUGGUAGAGGUAAAGGGAAUUCCUGGUGUAGCGGUGAAAUGCGUAGAUAUCAGGAGGAACAUCGGUGGCGAAAGCGCUUUACUGGACCAUUAUUGACGCUGAGGAACGAAAGCCAGGGGAGCAAAUGGGAUUAGAUACCCUGGUAGUC